ACGGAAGGUCCGGGCGUUAUCCGGAUUUAUUGGGUUUAAAGGGAGCGUAGGCCGGAGAUUAAGCGUGUUGUGAAAUGUAGAUGCUCAACAUCUGAACUGCAGCGCGAACUGGUUUCCUUGAGUACGCAUAAAGUGGGCGGAAUUCGUGGUGUAGCGGUGAAAUGCUUAGAUAUCACGAAGAACUCCGAUUGCGAAGGCAGCUCACUGGGGCGCAACUGACGCUGAAGCUCGAAAGCGCGGGUAUCGAACAG
rnacentral:rRNA from 1 species